rnacentral:rRNA from 1 species
UACGUAGGGGGCUAGCGUUGUCCGGAAUCAUUGGGCGUAAAGCGCGUGUAGGCGGUCCGGUAAGUCCGCUGUGAAAGUCGGGGGCUCAACCCUCGGAUGCCGGUGGAUACUGUCGGGCUUGAGUACGGAAGAGGCGGGUGGAAUUCCUGGUGUAGCGGUGAAAUGCGCAGAUAUCAGGAGGAACACCAAUUGCGAAGGCAGCUCGCUGGGACGUCACUGACGCUGAGACGCGAAAGCGUGGGGAGCAAACAGG